rfam:Canis lupus familiaris chromosome 9, whole genome shotgun sequence.
GCCUGGGUGGCUCAGUGGUUGAGUGUCUGCCUUCGGCCCAGAGCGUGAUCCUGGAGUCCUGGGAUCGAGUCCCAAAUCGGGCU